rnacentral:tRNA from 1 species
GGGGGUGUCGUCCAAUGGCUAGGACGGCGGUCUCCAAAACCGCUGAUCUAGGUUCGAGUCCUAGCACCCCCG